GUGGUGGCGCGGGGGCCACGCAGACCUGGGGUGUCCCCGUCCGGACUGAGGGAGCGCGGUGGUUGUGGCAGCUGGACCCAAAAGGGACUUUCACUGAAGGAGGCGGCAGCGGAAGCAGGCGACGCCCCCGGGAAUGCUCCCGCCGAAGCCCCCUAGCGGAGGCCGCUUCUGCAGCCAGGCCCCGUUUCCUUUAAUUCAAUAUUUCCCAAACUUGCUGGUUCACGACAAUCACGUGGGGGAGCGUGUUAAAAUUACAGAUUCCUCGGCUCCACCCGCAGGCCUACUGAAUCAGACUCUUGAAGGGAGGUACUCCGGAACCUGGAUCUCUAACUAGGGCCGGAGAAACUGCUAGUGAUCAGGGUGGUACUUGAGAAUAAAGGCGGGAGCUCCGACAUCCAUCAUUCCAGCGGCUGAACCUGCCUCCAGCAGCUGAAUGUACCCCCAACAUGUCUCAGUCUCCCCCUCUAGGUCCAACUCCUGCUCUCCCAGAAACGAUGAAGCUCAAACUUUACUGGGGACCAGCCUGAACCCCAGAUCUAGAGGGACAACAGUGCUCCCAAGGCCGCUCCACCUGAAGGGACAUGUCUCUUUGAGAAACUUAUCAGCCCAUCCUGUGCUGGCUCCUUGCCUCCCACUCAGGCUCCAAAGGCCCUGGGUGGGAUGACUGGUUGACAGCUGGCCUCCAGAUACAGCACUCCAGAUACUGAGCAGCCUGUGGGCAGAAACAGUCACUCCAAGGCCAGCAGGGGAAACCAGACACUGCAAGGCUGUUCCUACAGGUUGCACCUCCCUUACGCUGCAAGGAACCCAAACUACAAAGUCUGAGACCCAUAAGAUUUAGCAGAGUCUUGGGUGGGCAGCACGUAGGAAUAAAGCGGGUAUCUUUGGAGCUGCCAGUGAGGAGAGAGUCUGGGGGCCUGCUGUAUGAAAAGCAGCAUCAUAGAGCCCAGGAAGAAUGAGUCCAGAACAAACAGCUCAGGUCUUGGGCAGAGUGUGGGGAUGUCAGAAGCAGCUGCAACUGCUGCUUCUGGAGGGUGCAGCCAAAGGCAGGGAUCAGCACGUGGGGAGAGAGUGAGCUAAGAAGAGUCCAGUGCCUCAGUGUGACAGCCGGCUGUACCUGGUGCACAUGGAUGGUCCUACUCUAGGGGGCUCUGCUGUCUACAAAGCAUCCCUGGUCAGCAUUGGAAAUCAGCCUCCACCUGAGUCAUGCUUCAUAGAGGAAGCAAAGACAUACUCCUUGGGGAUUAGUCAGGGAGCUGGAGCCCUUAUGGAGGCUGUGUGGUUCCUAGCUAGCCUAAGGCUACCUUAGUGCCUGCCUUCCCUAAGUCAGCUCUGUUUUCAAUUCCUUGAAGUGUCCUUCCAACAAAUGCCUGCCCUUUGUCACCUGCAACUAGAGGAAGUCCAACCAGUAUGGCUACCAAAGGAAUGAUGCAGCUGCUAAGAAUGACUGAGCUCAUGGAGCACGAGUGAAGAAGGCAAGGAAGGAGAACGUUCAUCCUAUCCUCACAGGCUACCAACCAACAAAGAAAUCUAAAGAUCGCCAUGCUUAGGAGUCCUGCUGCUGAAUAAUGGCUAUGUAACCCAGUUGCCCCACUACUCAUCAGCUUCCUGUGAAGCUCACAGAGGAACCUGGGCACUGCCAAGGCCAGAAAACUCUGGAAGUGGGGGGCUCUGCCAUCAUUCACCCCACCAUCUAUGGCCAGGCACUAAGAGCUAUGUACUAUGUAUUAAGAGCACUGAGCCAAAGACACCCCAGGAUUAGAUUUGGCUUUCCUAAAAGGAACACACAUGCUAAAGAAGUGGCUUUAGGACAACUAGCAGAAAAGAAGCACCAAAUAUUUAAAUAAAUAAAUAAAUAAAUAAAUGAAUGGAUGAAUGAAUGAA
ensembl:processed_transcript Gm14379 predicted gene 14379